rnacentral:rRNA from 1 species
ACGAACGCUGGCGGACGUGCCUAAUACAUGCAAGUCGAACGGUCUUUCUAUGGAAGCUUGCUUCCACUGAGAAGAUAGUGGCGAACGGGUGAGUAACACGUGGGUAACCUGCCCAUAAGAGGGGGAUAACAUCCGGAAACGGGUGCUAAUACCGCAUAGGUUUUCUUGAUCGCAUGAUUGAGAAAGGAAAGACGGCCUUUGUGCUGUCGCUUAUGGAUGGACCCGCGGCGUAUUAGUUAGUUGGUGAGGUAACGGCUCACCAAGACGAUGAUACGUAGCCGACCUGAGAGGGUGAUCGGCCACAUUGGGACUGAGACACGGCCCAAACUCCUACGGGAGGCAGCAGUAGGGAAUCUUCCGCAAUGGACGAAAGUCUGACGGAGCAACGCCGCGUGAGUGAAGAAGGUUUUCGGAAUCGUAAAACUCUGUUGUCAGAGAAGAACAAGUUGGAGAGUAACUGCUCCAGCCUUGACGGUAUCUGACCAGAAAGCCACGGCUAACUACGUGCCAGCAGCAGC